AACGCACGAGACCUGCGGACCUGCGGAGGGAUCAUUAAUGAGAAACUGCCCCUCGCGGGUAGAUCUCCCACCCUUUGUAAACUUACCUUUGUUGCUUUAGCAGGCCCGUCUCCGGACCGCCGGCUUCGGCUGGCCAGUGCCUGCCAGAGGAUUCUAAAACUCUGUCUGUCAGUGUUGUCUGAGUCUAUAUACAAUCGUUAAAACUUUCAGCAAUGGAUCUCUAGAUCGGAAGAGCACACG
rnacentral:misc_RNA from 1 species